rnacentral:rRNA from 1 species
AUUGAACGCUGGCGGCAGGCCUAACACAUGCAAGUCGAAUGGUAACAGGAAACAGCUUGCUGUUUCGCUGACGAGUGGCGGACGGGUGAGUAAUGUCUGGGAAACUGCCUGAUGGAGGGGGAUAACUACUGGAAACGGUAGCUAAUGCCGCAUAACGUCGCAAGACCAAAGAGGGGGACCUUCGGGCCUCUUGCCAUCAGAUGUGCCCAGAUGGGAUUAGCUAGUAGGUGGGGUAACGGCUCACCUAGGCGACGAUCCCUAGCUGGUCUGAGAGGAUGACCAGCCACACUGGAACUGAGACACGGUCCAGACUCCUACGGGAGGCAGCAGUGGGGAAUAUUGCACAAAGGGCGCAAGCCUGAUGCAGCCAUGCCGCGUGUAUGAAGAAGGCCUUCGGGUUGUAAAGUACUUUCAGCGGGGAGGAAGGGAGUAAAGUUAAUACCUUUGCUCAUUGACGUUACCCGCAGAAGAAGCACCGGCUAACUCCGUG